AUCUUUAAAGUAGCUCAGAGAAACCUCCGCCUCCCGAGUUCAAGCAAUUCUCCUGCCUCAGCCUCCCGGGUAGCUGGGACUACAGGCGUGCACGACCACACCUGGCUAUUUUUUAUAUUAUAGGCUGGUCUUGAACUCCUGACCUCAUGAUCUGCCUGCCUCGACCUCCCAAAGUGCUGGGAUUACAGGUGUUAGUCACCAUGCCUGGCCGAGAAAAGAAGAUUUAAGAAAGGAAGCUAGAAGUUGUUCAUCGAAGGGAAGAGAAUCAGGAAAUGGUAAAAGUCACAGAUAUUAAGCAGAAAGUACUCAUUCCCUAAAGCCAGGAUUGAACCCUGGCCACCACUGUAAAAUGGUGGAGACCAAAAGAAAGGACUGCCACGUGGUUACAAGGUCAAGCUGCCAAGGACAUAAGACAAGAUGGAGACCUGCAGCACAGUUCGUUACUGACCAGUUUGCGGGGCUGGCUUGAACAGUGGGCUCAUGGGGUACUAGGCCAUGCUCUAUCCUCAGGUAUUCCUCCUUAUGACAGAACCAUGCAGAAAGACACACAAAGUACACCAGAUUGGCUGCAGCUUAAGAUUAGCCUCACAAAUCCUUUUUUUCCAUGCAUCAAAAUCUUACAGAGGAUAUAAACAGUGAUUUUCUCAUUCAUUCAACUGGUUUGCACAGGGAGAGGGAGACCAGAAGUCUGACUGGUAAGAAAUCUUUACCCUUUUGCUGGCAUUUCAGGCUUCUGAGUUCCCUUCACCCAAGCUCAAUUUUAAGCCAAGCAUUUUAAGGGUUGGGGAAAUUAACUCUUCCCAGUUUGGGGGACACAUCCAAGGGGAAUGUCCUAUGUUAGGUACAGGGACACAAUUACCCAUCCCCAAAGAGAGGACAGAGGAGGAAAAAGCAGAAAGAAGGCAUUUUUUUUUUCCAAAAGAAUCACAGUGAUUCAGGAGGCAUUUCAGAGAAGUACAGACUGAAGAAGAUUGGUUACCCAUCUCGAAAGAGGGGAAGAAAGUGUCCCUAGUUACUUUCUCUUCCCAGUGAAUACUCAGGGUAUGUGAGGGAGAGAAAGAAGAGGCAUCUCCAUUUGUUUUUUGGGUCCUUACAUCCCUGAGUCCCAGUGACCUUGGCAGGGUGCUGCCCAUGGGUGCCAAUGAGGCUUUCACCCAUGUUAACAGGGGGUGCCUAGGGGAUGGGAAUUAUCUGCAUUUGCCCACAUGCUGCCUGUCCCCCAUGCUAUCAGUAACCUUUGGGUUCCCCAGACCUCAUUUAUGGCAUGGAUACUAGCAUGACCUCUAUCCUUGAAAUAAGGGGGACUUAAUCAGCAGGAAUUAGUCAGUCACGCUCACCUGUGCUGUGCCCCUUGACUUCCAUUGUCAUCUGCCUCUGGAUCCCUCAGAUCCCGUUUUCCUUACUAGGGCUUCAGUCUGAAGCUUGGAAUUGAGUUUGAGACAAAAAGCUGCCUCAGGAGGGUUUAUGGACUCAUCAAGUCCCAGGUGGUCCUCACCAGACUGCAGCCAGCAGCCAACAGCCAACAGGGUCGCUCCUCUGCUGCUUCCUUAUCCUCCGAGACCAUGAUCAUUCUCCCUCCUGAAACAAUGAAAGCAUGGCUUUGAGAAGAGGCGUACCACCUGAGGUUCUGUGGCCAGGACAUGGCAGACUGGGACUAGAGCUGGACAUUUUGCCCCAAGGUGAUGGAUCCCAUCCUGAGCCUUAUACACUUGAGGAAUUUUCUCUACCUUCCUCACACAGAAGCCACUUGCUCACUUGUGUUCCAUCUUGUGUGCUUGAGCUGACAUGUGCAUACACCACCUGUUAUGGGCUGAAGUGUGUCCCUGCCCCAAAUUUAGAUGUUGAAGUCCUCACUCUCAGCACCUUAGAACCUAACCAUGUUUGAAGAAAAAAUCUUCUGAGAGGUAAUUAAGCUACAAUGAAGGCUUCAGGGUGGGCCUUAAUCCAAUGUGACUGGUGUGCUUAUAAGAAGAGGAAAUUUGGACCCAUGGAAAGACAACAGAAGCAUACACAGACAGAGGGACACCGCGUGAAGACACUGUGAAAAGGUGGCCAUCUGCAAGCCAUGGGGAGAAGCCUUGAGAGAAACUAGCCCUGCCAAUGCCUUGAUUUUGGACUGCUAGCCUCUAUAACUGUGAGAAAAUAAAUCUCUGUUGUUUAAGCCACUCUAUCUGUGGUACUUCCUAAUGACAGCUUGGUAUAGUUUGGAUUUGUGUCCCUGCCCAAAUCUCAUGUUGAAUUGGAGGAGGGGCCAAGGGGGAGGUGAUUGGAUCAUGGGGGCGGGUUUUUCUCAUGCUAUUCUCGUGAUAGUGAAUAAGUCUCACGAGAUUUGAUGGUUUUAUAAAGGGGAGUUCCCCUGCACAUGCCUUUUGCCUGCCACCAUGUAAGACAUGACUUUGCUCCUCAUUCACCUUCCACCAUGAUUGUGAGGCCUCCCAAGCCAUGUGGAACUGUGAGUUGAUUACACCUUUUUCCUUUAUAAAUUACCCAGUCUCAGGUAUGUCCUUAUUAGCACUGUGAGAACAGACUAGUACAGAAACAUAGAAACUGGGGGCUGGGGAGUUGCUCCCUGGGGUACCCUCCAAUUGGUGGUCCCAUGAGGCAGGGGCUGUGUCAGGGCUGCUGAGCACACAACAGUGCUCGGAGGUCAUCGGCAGGUGCAGAGCUGAACAGUAUGACUGGCUUGGACUCUUAUGGACUUGGGCAGAAGAGGAGCCUGCAGCCCAUAGGAAUGGGUGGUUUUGCACAAAGGACACUUGUUAGCAGCCCUCAGCCUCAGCCCAGCAUGGCCCAGCCUGGUGAUGCCACACACGGUGCCACCAUGGCCACAGAGCAGCAGAACGGGGUUGGAUUUCAUUAGCUGUGACCCCUGUGACCAGAGCUGCCCUCUGUCCCUCAGACACAAGUAUUUUAAAAGGAAAGUUUUAUUAUUAAUCAGGUACAGUGAGGCCAACAGAUCAGGAGAUGGAUGCCAUUGAAAAGGAAUAGUGCUACACUCACAAAUCCCAGGAGAAGGGGCAGGACACACUAUGGGGCAGGGGGUAUGGGGAGUGGGGGUGGGCACUCGGGGAAGCACCAGGGCCUGGCAGGAGGGGGAGGGGGAGGGGGAAAUGGGCAGGAAACUUUAUUGUGGUUUCCAAGGGAGCAAACAGGUAAGUCAGGCCCAGCAGGCGGAGGGCUGGCUGGUGUGCCUCAUUCCAGUGGGCUCUGGGGUUGUAGGGCUGUCCCUAGUUGUCUGGUUCCUGGCCCUAAGGUAGCUAGGGCAAGAGAACAGUGGCCCAGAGUGUGAGAGCCCCAUAGAGGAGGGGGUUGUGGGUGUGUGGUUGGGAUUGGUUGGUUUGCUUGUGUGAGUUCUUGUGGGAAACUUGUUUGCUGUUUGGGGGAACUGGCUAACCCUGAGAGGGACUCAACCAGCAAAACCAGUAAGUACUCACUGUUCAUCAAAAAAAAAUGCUUCAUCUCUUUGAGCUUCAGAUGCCUCAUUAAAACUAGGGAAAUAAUGCUGACAGCUGACUUCUCAAAAAGAACCUCAGGAAAGUAUACUAGAAGGUAGGGUGCCCACUACCUGCACAGUCUCAGAAGGUAGGAGUAGAAAGAAGGGUAUUGACAGGGCUUUCUCUUCUGAGCUGUGUGAUUUUAAGGCAGCUCUUGAAAGACUGGACCUUUUGAUCAGUGUGCACUGUCAGGCUAGGGUCUUAGAGUGAGUAAUGAUUAGCAAGCUUUUGGUCUUGAUAAGAAAACAGGGCAGCAGCUUUGUUUUCCAGCAGGAAGUAUUUCCUAGAGCAAGCAACUAAAUUAUUUUUCCUAGUUUCAGUAUUGUUUAGCACAGAAACAGGAAGUAUGCUAGUUUCAAUAAUAAUAAUAAUAAUAAUAAUAAUAAUAAUAUUUACUCAUAGGAUUAUUAGGAAAGUCAGGUGAAAUUAUGUAGGAAAUGUGCUUAGCAGAGUCUCUGCUUAAUAAACGUAGCUAUUAAUUAGGGUGAGGCAGCAAAUAACCAGAGCAGAAUGUGAUGAAGCCAUUUGGGUAGGGUGAUCCAUUAUCCUGGUUUAUCUGAGAUUGGAGGUGUUUUGGGAUGGGGAAUUUCAGUGCUAAAACCAGGAAAAUCCCAGGCAAAUGAUGUCAAGUUGGUUAAUCUCGGUUCAAGACAGGAAAACCCAAUUGUUGCACAUAAAUUUUUUGGAAUUUAACUUGGAUUUUUUCUUUUAAGCAUCAGAAAUGUCUAAUAAUGUUUGUGAGUCCCAGAAUAGAACAUGUGGUCCUUAGGGAGUAGGGAGUAAGGUUUCCCAAGUAGCAGAGGCCCUAUCCUGCGGCAGGUGUUUGCUAGAAUCCUGCACUGGGGCCUUUGCUGAGGGUGCUGAGAUAUCCCUUUGGAAGCAUCUCGAAGGCUGCAUUGGAAAUAAAUAAGCCCCGGGAGGAUCACACUGCAGGUGAAACCUGAGACCCUAAGCCAGCCAGAAUCACCUUGGUAUGACAAGCAGAGCUCUGCCUCUUUCUCUCAUUUCUCUCUUCUGUUCAAAGAAAAAACUGAACUGGAAUGAAGAAGCACCCAAAACUGGGGUUAAAAACUAGAUAUUUUGGGUUCAAAGUGAGGUUUUUCUGUCCCUCUUUUUGCACAUAUGGAGCCCAACACUGCUUAGUGAGCUGCUUCUUGCCAAAUGCUUGGACAGCACCAGCCCAUUUAGUUCUCACCAGUGCCCUGCAAGAAGUGUACUAUUACCUUCACAUUACACACCAGGAAAUUAAGGUUGGGAGAGGUUAAGGGACUUGCAAAAGGUCACGGAGCUAUGAAGGGAUGGGGAGCUGGGAUUCAAAUUUGGGUUUGUAAGGAGAGAAGAGACGUCUUUCUUCUCAGCCUAGUAAGUGUGGGAGAUCAACCGCAGGGUGAUCGGAUCUCCAAGAUGAAUGAGUCAACAGGACUUUCAAAGCACUAUCUGAAGGUAAACAAGUCAGUAUCAUCUCUCCUUAGGGUCUGUGAGUUACUUUUGCUCUCUUGAGGGAGAAACUGAAAUCUACACCGAAUUGAGCGAAUUGAGCCCAAAGCAGGGGCUCAAGUUUCUCUCAGCCUUCCUUUGCUUACAGCCCUGAGGGGAUCCUGGCUGGGUGCUAUUUCCAGGAGGGUCUCUCCCUCAGCAGGGAAAGGAGAGCAGGAUUUGCAGAAGCUCCAGUUGGAGACAGAGCCCUGGGGGCGGGGGUUGGUGGAUAGGGGUAGGCACUUGGCUUAAGCCAGAUCUGAACUGUUUCCUUCUAUCCUGCUCCUGGGGCAGGAGGCCCCCUGCAAGGCCCUAACUAUACUGAUCUUAUCUCCUCCUGGGGAAUUUUCCCACAGGGAGGCAGGAAAGGUCAGCAGUGUGUCCUGAGAGCCCUAAGGCAGGCCCACCCACUUCUACCACAUGAGUGCUUUGGGAGAGGUACUGGAGGCCACACCUGUAAACCCAAUAGGUCCUUUUAAUACAUACCAGGGAGCUGCAACUGGGGGAUGCCACCGUGGUGCUGGGCCUGCAAGGGAGCCCCCAGGAGACUCUAUUAAGCUCCCAUUUGACAAGUUUUAAAACUGGCCCAACCCAGGCAUGUGCACAGGAUCAGAAGCCCCAUCUCUCUAAAUUACUAGGUUGAAAUGCCACAUCUUAACGACUCAUGCACCGUCCACACUACUGCUGCGGUAUCUGUGUCCCACCAGGGCUGUGUUUGAUUUUUUAAAUGAACUCGAUUUGUUUUAUUGUUUUGUAAUUUGAACAUGUAGAGAUGGAGGUAAAUAGAAAACCGGCAUCUGUGUAUUACACAUAGAAAGUCACCAUAAAAAUAAACACAAUGAAUACUCUUCAGCAAAGGGAAUGAAAAAUCUACAACUACAUACCACUGAACACAAAUGGAAAUCACCAACAGGUUGAGGGAGAGAAGCUGAGCCCAGGUUUGGAGGGGCAUUGGAAAGGAAAUGACUUUCUCACUGUGCAAUGCCAGGCUUUGUUCAAGCAUUUGGGAAAACAAUGAGGAGGCAGCUUAUUCCCAGCUCCAGGCAGGAGGAGACCUGCAGAGGGUGAGAUUCUCAGGGGAGGAACUGCCAGAAGCCUAAGAGCCUUUUUCCAGAGCUGCCUCCAGGAGAGAAGGUGAUCUACCUGGCUCCGGAUCAAGUCCUUUCUGCUCAGAACAAGCUUUCUGCACUUGUAGGGUGGGUGAUUUUAGAGAUUUGGAGAGUCAAUCUUUGCUUCUUUCCUUUUUUCUCUCUCUCCUUCCCAGUCCCACCCACUCUAAUCCCAGCUCCUGUUUGUCCAAGCCCCUCAAGCAAGACUCUCUUUAGUGAGUGAAAGCUGACAAUGUGAGUCUCAGCCUCCUUCCCAGGAGCAGCUAAGCUGACAGAUCCUUGAUCUUGAGAAGCCCUCGCAGCUCC
rnacentral:lncRNA from 1 species